UCCGGCAUAGCUCAGUUGGUAGAGCGCUUGACCGUUAAUCAAGAUGUCGGCAGUUCGAGUCUGCCUGCCGGAG
rnacentral:tRNA from 1 species